GAUGAGAACGUAGCGAAAUGCGAUAAGUAAUGUGAAUUGCAGAAUUCAGUGAAUCAUCGAAUCUUUGAACGCACAUUGCGCCCUCUGGUAUUCCGGGGGGCAUGCCUGUUCGAGCGUCAUUAUAACCACUCAAGCUCUCGCUUGGUAUUGGGGUUCGCGGUUUCGCGGCCCCUAAAAUCAGUGGCGGUGCCUGUCGGCUCUACGCGUAGUAAUACUUCUCGCGAUUGAGUUCGAUAGGUCUACUUGCCAGUAACCCCCAAUUUUUACAGGUUGACCUCGGAUCAGGUAGGGAUACCCGCUGAACUUAAGCAUAUCAAUAAGCGGAGGA
rnacentral:misc_RNA from 1 species